AAGAUUUACUUGCUGAGUCCUCUGAGUGAUUGUGAAAAAGGCAGCAGCUGAGGAAGAAUCUGGUUAAACCCCCUACUUCUGGUUUAAGUUACAUCUCAGUUCAGAGAGGAGAGCUGGGGUCUGCUGAUUUAAGGGAUACAAAAGGACUACCUAAAUUACACCUUGUAGUAUUGAGGAGAACUGGGAACUCUAGGGCUAAGAAAGAGUAACUGUAUAAAAUAUAACCCUGGCUCCAAGAAUGGGGCUCUGGGGGACUCCAGAAUAGGGUUAAGGAAGCUGUCCAGGACUCUCAUAUGGACCCAGAGUGGGGUGUACUGAGGCAACUAAUGAACUGAGUUACAUUCCAUAGAAAAUAUUUAAAUUUGACUCUAGCAAAGGCUGUUUCACGGUGCCAUAUGUGGCCACUGCUUUGUUAAGACAACUGCUGAAGAUAAAGGCCAAGCUGGUGGAUUAGCUCCUGAUACAGACAGGUGUGCUGACGGAACUGCAUGUGAGGGAAGAGGGAUUAUAGAUUCAUGAAGAAAGGAAGGUAUGCAUGUCGUAACUACUACUUGCAUUAAGAACUUGCCUCGUUUUCUAUUGAUCCAUCCGGGUACCUAUCUGGUCCUCAUCACCGCAGUACACAAGCACC